rnacentral:rRNA from 1 species
AACGAACGCUAGCGGCGCGUUUUAAGCAUGCAAGUCGAACGAAGAAAUUAAGGAAGAAGCUUCGGCAGAAACCUUGAUUUCUUAGUGGCAAACGGGUGAGUAACACGUGGGUAAUUUGCCCUGAAGAUCGGGAUAGCCCUUGGAAACAAGGAUUAAUACCGGAUGUGGCGGCCAAACAUAAGUUUGGAAUGUUAAAGGUGGGGACCUUCGGGCCUGCCACUUCAGGAUAAGCCCGCGGCCCAUUAGCUAGUUGGUAAGGUAAGAGCUUACCAAGGCCACGAUGGGUAGCCGGCCUGAGAGGGUGAACGGCCACAUUGGGGACUGAGACACGGCCCAGACUCCUACGGGAGGCAGCAGCUAAGAAUCUUCCGCAAUGGGGGAAACCCUGACGGAGCGACGCCGCGUGAAUGAUGAAGGCUCUCAGAGUUGGAAAA